GACGAACGCUGGCGGCGUGCCUAAUACAUGCAAGUAGAACGCUGAAGAGAGGAGCUUACUCUUCUUGGAUGAGUUGCGAACGGGUGAGUAACGCGUAGGUAACCUGCCUUGUAGCGGGGGAUAACUAUUGGAAACGAUAGCUAAUACCGCAUAACAAUGGAUGACACAUGUCAUUUAUUUGAAAGGGGCAAUUGCUCCACUACAAGAUGGACCUGCGUUGUAUUAGCUAGUAGGUGAGGUAAUGGCUCACCUAGGCGACGAUACAUAGCCGACCUGAGAGGGUGAUCGGCUACGCUGAGGCUGAGACACGCCCCAGACUCCUACGGGAGGCAGCAGUAGGGAAUCUUCGGCAAUGGCGGAAACCCUGACCGAGCAACGCCGCGUGAGUGAAGAUGGUCUCCGGAUCGUAAAGCUCUGUUGUAAGUCAAGAACGGGUGUGAGCGUGGAAAGGUCACACUGUGACGGUAGCUUACCAGAAAGGGACGGCUAACUACGUG
rnacentral:rRNA from 1 species